UACGUAGGGGGCUAGCGUUAUCCGGAAUUACUGGGCGUAAAGGGUGCGUAGGUGGUUUCUUAAGUCAGAGGUGAAAGGCUACGGCUCAACCGUAGUAAGCCUUUGAAACUGGGAAACUUGAGUGCAGGAGAGGAGAGUGGAAUUCCGAGUGUAGCGGUGAAAUGCGUAGAUAUUCGGAGGAACACCAGUGGCGAAGGCGGCUUCCUGGUCUGUAACUGACACUGAGGCGCGAAAAGCGUGGGGAGCAAACAGGAUUAGAUACCCCGGUAGUCCCUGACGCGGGCU
rnacentral:rRNA from 1 species